rnacentral:rRNA from 1 species
GCGCCUAACACAUGCAAGUCGAACGCGAAUUGUCUUCGGACAUAGUAGAGUGGCGCACGGGUGAGUAACACGUGAGUAAUCUCCCCCAAGGCCUGGGAUAACAUUCCGAAAGGAGUGCUAAUACUGGAUAAGACCACAGCCUCUGCGGGGGCAGUGGGAAAAGACGGGGAUCCGAAAGGACCUGUCACCAUGGGAUGAGCUCGCGGCCUAUCAGCUAGUUGGUGAGGUAAUGGCUCACCAAGGCUAAGACGGGUAGCUGGUCUGAGAGGAUGAUCAGCCACACUGGAACUGAGACACGGUCCAG